rnacentral:lncRNA from 1 species
AAACAUGAAAAGAUUAAGAGCAAAUAAUCAGAUGCAUUACAAAGAGUAAUUCAUAAACUUUGUCUUCAUCUAUCCCUAGGAUUAAGAGUUUAGCUACCCCAUACUUCACAAUCUAAAACACAAAACUCAAUACAAAACCCAUAACAAAAAUUAAAGGAGAAGAAAAAGAAGAAGAAAAGCUAGUGAUUCGUAUUAUUAUCAGACUGUGUAUAACAGUAUGUGUUUUUUAAUAUUCUUUGUUUCCAGCUCCAGUGUACCAAAAUAUUAUCACAAACUCCACAAUCCUUCUCUUUCCAAUCCCUAAACUAAAAGAUAAUAGAUUUAAACAAUAAAUCAAGUUAUUCGAGGUACUUGGAUCCUCCCUUCUUGAGAUCACAAUCUCAAGCCCUAAAACCCAAAUAUUGCUUCUCUUCUCCAUUCCCCUAUCCCUCUAUUUAUAACCAAAUAUAACCCACUCCCUAACUAUUUAUGCCCUCAAUACCCAAAUAACCCCUAAUACCGAUCCUAUUCGUCUCAAGGUGGUUUCAAAAUGUAGACCAUUUUGGAGGGGGCGGUGACUGCAUUUUUACCAUCUUUAUUUAAUUUCAUCUAUGUAGAAUGCCAUAACUCACAGGUUGAUGACGGUGAAUGGGAGCUGUAUCCACAAGUAACUGCUCUAUGCAUUGGAAAUGCUAAAUACUUGACGGUGGUAUGAAAAUUGUGCCAAAUGCCGAUCCUUCCAACAGGAG